rnacentral:hammerhead_ribozyme from 1 species
GUACUGCUUAAGAGUCCCAAACUAGGAUGAAACAGCUGUCCAGUAC